rnacentral:rRNA from 1 species
GAUGAACGCUGGCGGCGUGCCUAAUACAUGCAAGUCGAGCGAACAGACGAGGAGCUUGCUCCUCUGACGUUAGCGGCGGACGGGUGAGUCACACGUGGAUACCCUACCUAUCAGACUGGGAUCACUUCGGGAAACCGGCGCUAAUACCGGAUAAUAUAUUGCACCGCAUGGUUCAAUAGUGAAAGACGGUUGUGCUGUCACUUAUAGAUGGAUCCGCGCCGCAUUAGCUAGUUGGUAAGGUAACGGCUUACCAAGGCAACGAUGCGUAGCCGACCUGAGAGGGUGAUCGGCCCCACUGGAGCUGAGCCGCGGUCCAGACUCCUACGGGAGGCAGCAGUAGGGAAUCGUCCGCAAUGGGCGGAAGCCUGACGGAGCAGCGGCGCGUGAGUGAUGAAGGUCUUCGGAUCGUAAAACGCUGUUAUUAGGGAAGAACGAAUGUGUAAGUGACUAUGCACGGCGUGACGGUACCUGAUCAGAAAGCCACGGCUAACUACGUG